rnacentral:lncRNA from 1 species
GUACCCAAGGCCUCUAUAUUGCUCUGAAUGCCCCAGCUCCCCUAGCUCUAUGUUACUAUCCCCCUCUUCGUUAAGUAAGUCCCGAAAGUACGCCUGCCACCUCUAUUUGAUUUGAGAUUCCCCCAUCAGAACUCUACCAUCCUCGCCCUUGAUACACCUAACUUGGUCUAGAUCACGUGCCUUCCUUUCCCUUGCUUUAGCU